AAUGGGGUGUUAAUAUUUCAGAGUAAAGUUAUUUUAACCCAGAUAGAGUAUUUUCAACAUUUUUGAGAGUAAAGUUGCUCUAUCAGUGGAGUUAAAAGUGAGUGUAAAAAUCUGCAGAUACGCAGUGACAAUUUCAACUCUACAGCAGUGAUGAAUACCCGCCACUCUGCUUUGCUGAAGUUUGGCACGUACGUUGGUGGAGGAAGAUUGCGAAGGAGUAGCUAGGCCACAGAUAUUGCUAGAGGCAAAAUGCUGUUGCGUGUUCAGCUCGGGGAAGAGCAGAAAUACGUCAAGCUGUCUGAGCUGACAUUCAAUGCUUUCUUGAAAGAAGUGUGUCUAAAAUUCAACAUACCAGAAAGCAGAAAGCCAGACAUUAAGGUGUAUGACCAGUCUGACACAGAAGUUGACUCAGAUGUUUUUGAAGAAUUAGUAAAGGAGUCACCUGGAACUUUCAGAAUCAUGCUGGGCAAUGGACUUGAUACCUCUCAUUCAUCAUCAUGCUCGGGUACAUCUGAUGACACCAUCAUUCUGAAUUUCACUGUGUGUGACGAUGUUGAAGAAGUAGCGGCUGGCGAAGGAAGCCAG